rnacentral:rRNA from 1 species
GCGGUCCGCUGCCCGCGACGUUGUGAGAAGUCCACUGAACCUUAUCAUUUAGAGGAAGGAGAAGUCGUAACAAGGUUUCCGUAGGUGAACCUGCGGAAGGAUCAUUG